AGGAUGCCAACAGCUCACAAGCUA
rnacentral:misc_RNA from 1 species